AUUGAACGCUGGCGGCAGGCCUAACACAUGCAAGUCGAGCGAGCGGCGGACGGGUGAGUAAUGUCUGGGAAACUGCUUGAUGGAGGGGGAUAACUACUGGAAACGGUAGACAAUACCGCAUACCAUCAGAUGUGUCCAGAUGGGAUUAGCUAGUAGGUGGGGUAACGGCUCACCUAGGCGACGAUCCCUAGCUGGUCUGAGAGGAUGACCAGCCACACGGGAACUGAGACACGGUCCAGACUCCUACGGGAGGCAGCAGUGGGGAAUAUUGCACAAUGGGCGCAAGCCUGAUGCAGCCAUGCCGCGUGUGUGAAGAAGGCCUUCGGGUUGUAAAGCACUUUCAGCGAGGAGGCGUUACCCGCAGAAGAAGCACCGGCUAACUCCGUGCCAGCAGUCGCGGUAAUUC
rnacentral:rRNA from 1 species